GCUAAUAUCAUGAAUGCAUGAUUGGAUGUCCGAUCGCAACACUGUGGUUAUAAGCACCUGAAUUGCAAUUUGGUCCUGCUAUUUCGAAUUAAAGUAACGAACAAGCUAUAUUUCUGAGAGUAAUGUUACGUAACUCAAGAAAGUUCCACCAAUCAUAAUUGAAAUAAAAUAGGAGUGAUAUAUGUUGUGCAAAACGCCUUAAUGAACACAUUUACAUUAAAAAUAAAUAAAUAAAUAAAUAAAUAAAUAAAAUGUGCCUUGAUGGUGAGCUUUGUUUGUCGUGUUACCAACCCUCCAAUUAAGAACUUGUAAUAUAGAAGCUUUGUGGGGAAGCUGCUGGUUGUCUUGGCCCCAUCCAGG